UCAGGGUGCAACCAUAACCCCACAUCUUCCUCCUUUCCCUCUCAAAACCACACUAUUAUUAGCCACACCUUAAUCCUCCUACCUUUAGCCCACUGGUUUGCUUCUUUUAUGCCAAUUCAGUAGGGUUUUGUGGGGCUUUCAAACCCCAUUUGAUUAUGACUUAGUUCAUUCCAUCCCUCUCUAGAUCUCCCUCCCCCCCCUCCCCCCCAACCCUCCUUAUAUACCCUCCAUCCAUCCCCUUCACUCUUGCUCUCAACUACUCUCCCUACUCCCCUCCCCAACACACAAUUCUCUUUUUGUCCCUUUCUCCACCUUCAUCUUCCCCAUCAACUACCUACCUAGGUUUUUUCAUCAUCUUAACCAUAUAUAUACUUGCACACUCCAUGCCCUUGUAAUAUAUCUACAUGUAUCUCCACAACAUAACAAACAACUAUUAUCACAUACUCAUGCAUCAUACACAACUUCUAUAACCUUAGGCUUUGUUGAGGGUAAUUAGGAAAAUUUUCUUUUGUACAUAUGUAUAUGCGUUUAACUAUACACUCACCCCUCAUGCAUCUUGGUGAUUGAUUGUAUAUUUAUGUCGCAUCAUGCAUACAUAUGUGUAUGUGCCUGGCUCCCUGUAUGCCAUUUGCAGAGCUCAUCGAAGUAUCAAUGACCUCCGUGGAUGGCGUAUGAGGAGCCAAGCAUAUUCCAUGUACAUACAUGGAGAUGAUCAUGAUCAAAUUUUAAGUUUAUGUGGGUAAAGGAGUGUAAAUAUAAGGCUUGUCUAUGUUUGAUAAUUCUAAAAGUUUUCUUAUUAAUUGUACCGACUAUUGAAGGUCAUAUAUACAGUUAUUCAACAAAGCACGGCAUUGUCAUUUUCAAAGGCACAGGUUGUGUUUCCUCAGGCUGAACAAAGAGUGUUAACUGGGGGAACAUAUUCCCUCAUUUACCAGCUGGGGGCUCACAUGUGGGCGUGUUUUUUUUUUUCCUUUUCUUUUCUUUUGUUUUCUUCAAUUUGAUAAUCAUUUCACUACGCUUGAAACGAAGACAUGGGAAAACAGCAAGAAGCCCAAGUUACCGUAAAUUAGAACUAUUCCUGACAAUUAACAUGGAAGUUAACAAAUUUUUACUCACUGCCCUUUUCUCACCCUUCUUGUUACCAUGCUUGUCUGUCUCAUGGACAUUUCAUAUGACCUCUGAUUAUACCAACAAUAGCCUAAAAAGAAGCAAUACUGUGUCAUACAUACAGUCAUUUAUUGGUAUUAUUAUUUUAUUUUAUUUUAUUCAAACAUUAGUUAGCCAUUAAAAAAUAUUUAUAUGCGGAUGUGAUUUGCUUUUUUUUUUUUUGUAUGUGUGUGUGUGGCGUGUGUCAGGAUAACAUUGUUAGCAGCUUUGAAAUUUAUUUAUUCCUUUAUUUGGGUUAAUCUCAUAAUAUUUCCAUUUGAAAUAUGACUCUUUGUUUUAACAAGAGCUUAAAAGUAAGCAAUAUUUUACCAUAGCAUGAUCAUUGUCCUUUGGAAGAGCGAUUUCAUAUUUUAUUCAUAUUUUUCGGGGGGUAAAUCCCUUAUUUUUAGUUUCCUAAACAUAGGGACGUUUAUGACUUUUCAGUAUAUUUAAUGGUACGCAAUUAGUCCUACAUGAAAUCAGUGCGUUUAUUGAAUUAAUAAACUGUCAUUUACAACUUAUUUUUCAUAGAAACUUGACUCAUAUAACCUACGUACGAUUAACUAACUAUAGGAUAAAAUGAAGAAACAUUGUGUUAUAACCUAUAAAGCAACAAAUUUAAUAUGCUUUCUACCAGCGUAUAGUAAGAAGUAAGAUCGAAAAUAUUUUAUGGUUCGCUGGUCAUUAUUCAUGAUCAAUAGUAUUGUUUUGCAACAGUAAUUUAUUCCAAGAUAUAUACUUUUUACCCGCUCAAACAUCGAAAACCAAUUGAUAAAACCUUUGGAGUUGUAGCUAGCUCAUCUUUCAUACAUAGUAAGAACGAAUAGAUUUUACGGUUAAUUGGUGAUUUGCAUGAUCAACAUUGUUUUGCAACAGUAGUUUAUGUAUUUAUUUAGUUCUUACAUACUUUUUACCCGCUCAAACAUUGGUCACCAAUUUAAUGAACCCUUUGGAGUUACGAGAAGACAAUGUAUAUUAUAUGCUUGUAAGUAGAAUCUGGAUUAAAGAAGAGGGUGUUAACUAUUUCAAACCAAAUGUAGUAACGAUAUUUUAUUUCUUAACCCGGUUGCUCAACUUGACAAAUAUUUAAUCAUAUAUGUAUAGUAUAUAGUAAGAUAUUGAGUCUAAGAAGAAGCAUGUAUGAAUGUGUUGGUGGUAUCCAGAAUGGGUAUGAAUGAGUAGCAGAAGAGAGGUAUUAAAAUUAUUCUAGUUGCUUAGGCUGAUGUGUGUAAUAUAUUAAUGGUGUAGGCAUGUAGGUAUAAGAGAGAAGAAGUGAAUUUGAAUUAAGCUUAGGUAGGUGGUCUGUUAAAAACACACGCAUGUCUGGGCAGGGGUUGAAGAAAGUAAAAAAGGGAAGGAUCCUGGGAAAAGUAAAAGCAUGAUUGUAGUUGUAGCAGCUGAAGGAUUAUGAUUAUAGCCACUGGGGAAUCUCAUACAUACAAAAAGGAAUGGACCACACACUCUCUCUCUAGUUUCAAUUGGUUUGCAGGGAAUAUGGUAUACGGUCAAAGCAGGUCAAAAGCUUGCCAAUAGGACAUUAUUCCUCACCCUAUUGUGGGACCACCCACACCCUAACACCUCCUGGGGAAAUCAAUUCUCGGAUUUUGUGUUUUUCUUCCUUCAACCAUUUCACUGCACUAUUAUAACUUAUAACCAUUGCAAUCAAACCAAUAUUUUCAUUCUAAUUUCAAAAACAGAAAACAUCAUUUUAUGUCCAAUUAAAUCUUCUUUUCCAUUAUUAAUUUGUAACUUUUUUACUCAUCUAAACUACAGACUUAGUGUAUACUAUUCACAUUUCAACAUUAGACCAACUUUAUUGAUUUUAACAAUUCGAAAAAGUAAUUAUAAGUACAUUAAUUAGGAAACUAAUUAAAAUAAAGCAUAUUGAACCUUAAUUUACUUAACCAAUGUUGUUGGGUGGUUGAUCUUGAUCAUGUGAAAGAUUAGGGAAACUUAGGUAAGGUAUGGCAAGUGCAAAGUAACCUGCAGUUAUAUUGGAGAAAGAAAGAGAUGGAGAGAGAGAAUAAAAUUAUUAGAGUAAUCAUAUGAUGUAAGGUGCUGGCUAGGCCCGGUUCCUCAGUGUUUGAUGCCUCUGCUGGCAGAUUAAUUGUACUCGUCAAGUCUGAGAAAGUAGAUUCUAUACUAUUCCUGUCUCACUUUCUCCAUGGGAAUAUCAUUUGCUUUUUUUAUAUCUAAGGAUCGAUUUCACUUUCUAUGAUUCUCCUCACUUUCUUUCCUACCCUUAAGGUGAAAAUUUUUCUAAGUUUUUUGUCAGUUCAACCACUCAAAUGAAUCACAUGAUUUUAUGAACCACAACACACACCUUUCCGUUUUAAUCUAGAUAUUGUUUCACGUUGGAUAAGCUAGAAUGAUAUGCACAACAAAUUAAGCAUGUGCAUUAAUUUUGAAUUUAAUUUCCUCAUGAUAUGUUUUCUCUUCAAUUCUUUCGCAGUUUGGAGAAGCAUUAUUAUAUUCUGCUAAUUGUUGUUGCCUUUUAAUUAAAUAGGCAAUUAAGAUGAUUGUGCAGAAAAAGGGUUGAGUAAAUUGUUGAACUAGAAAAUAUAUAUGCGUCAUGCAUGAUGCUGAAAACUCUCCAGAUAUGGAAAAAAUUGUAAGAUUCUUCACUGCUAUAUGCAAACUGCAGUGUCUGGCUUGCUGUCUUGUUGUGUAGGGGAGUAUCAUUAUGUUGCUAGCUGAAUGGUAUAAGACUCUUCCAGAUUCUUUCUUUUCUUUUUUCAAGCAAACAGAUCAAAUGGACAAAAGCACCAAGAGAUUUAUCAACUCUAAGCUUCAAGCAAUUCACCCCACACAUAGCGUGUCAAAUUAUCAUGUGUAUCUUUGGGAGCCAAAUAUUGCAAUUUUAGGACUCAUUAUAAUGAAAUAUUGAAACAACAUAUAUAUUGUUCAUCAGGUUUUCUUAAUAUUUAGUUAUUCCAAUAACUGACUAAAUGAAUAUAUGUAAAUAAAUGAAAAAAAGGGUUAUAUAUAUAAUG